UUUUUUUAUGCAUUAUAUAUGGAUACACAAUAGCCACCAGCCAAAUGCCUGGCCAAAAGCUACCUUUUUGAUGACUCCAAAUAUAAUACAGGCCAGGUACAGUAGCUCACACCUGUAAUCCAAACAUUUUGUGAGGCCCAAGCAAGAGGAUCAUUUGAGCCCAGUAGUUCGAGACCAGCCUGGGAAACAUAAUGAGACCCCAUCUUUAUAGAAAGCAAAAAAUAGACUCUUUUCCUUUUCAGUUCACAGCUUUUAAGGCCCUGCACUGAAAAUGCAUGCUCAGGCGCUGACGGUUGUUGUGACCCAAGCUGGACUCGGUCCCACACCCCAGGACUCCAACUGGCAGGCAGGCAUGUGACGGCUGCAGCGACGGCGGAGUCUGUCUCUGCGGUGCACUGUGUUGUGUGCUUUGGGUGUCAAAUUGCAGCUGACGUGAAUUAACGUUGUCUGUGUGGAACAGGCGUCACAAUGAGGACUCUCUAUAGGACCCGAUAUGGCAUCCCUGGAUCUGUUGGGGAUGACUAUUUGGCAGCCCUUUGCUGUCCUCAUUGUUCUCUUUGCCAAAUCAAGAAAGAGAUCAACAGAAGGAGAGCCACGCAUGCUUUCUAAAAACUGAUGAUGAAAAGCUCUUGUUGAAGCAACAAGUCAGCAGACACCUCUUCAGCUUGAGUUCUUCACCAACAAAUUUUUGAUUUUUUAUAAAUGAAUGUUGUCCCUGAGCUUAUCUAAAUCGUCUAGCUUAGUUUCUCCUCACUUUCCUAUUAUCAAAUUUUCUGGCUUACAAACUUUUUAAAUUACACUUGAAAUAUAAACCAAAUAAAAGAUUUUACUG